rnacentral:rRNA from 1 species
CGACCGGCGCACGGGUGAGUAACGCGUAUCCAACCUGCCUUACACUCUUGGACAGCCUUCUGAAAGGGAGAUUAAUACAAGAUGUUAUCAUGAGUAAGCAUUUUCACAUGAUUAAAGGUUUACCGGUGUAAGAUGGGGAUGCGUUCCAUUAGAUAGUAGGCGGGGUAACGGCCCACCUAGUCUUCGAUGGAUAGGGGUCCUGAGAGGAAGGUCCCCCACAUUGGAACUGAGACACGGUCCAA